rnacentral:snRNA from 1 species
UUGCUUUAGCAGCAUACAUGCUAAACCUGGAAUGAUAUCAAGGUUAGAUGGGCCCUGGACAAGGAUGACACACAAGUUUGUGACAAGUCCAUAGUUUCU